GAUCAUGGCUCAGGAUGAACGCUAGCUACAGGCUUAACACAUGCAAGUCGAGGGCAGCAUGGUCUUAGCUUGCUAAGACUGAUGGCGACCGGCGCACGGGUGAGUAACACGUAUCCAACCUGCCGUCUACUCUUAGGACAGCCUUCUGAAAGGAAGAUUAAUACAAGAUGGCAUCAUGAGUCCGCAUGUUCAUAUGAUUAAAGGUAUUCCGGUAGACGAG
rnacentral:rRNA from 1 species